rnacentral:rRNA from 2 species
GUUGUAUAUAAGAACCGCUGCUCCAGGAAUAACAUGAGCCAGUGCGUUCAAGACCUGUGUUUCACGAUUGCAUCACCUGUUAUCGCACUUUGUACUUUUUAUCGUGCAGAACCAAAGUCCGGUGUAAAGUUGUUUAUAAGUUUUUAGCUUGUACCUCUUAAUUUGAAUCCUUGUAAAUAUGAUUGGAUACCAGCCUAGCCGACUUAGCUAGGUUAACUCCGAAGACCUAUCCCAUAUCUUUGGCAAUCCCUCAAACGCUAAACAGUAAAACAGUUCACGUAACUAGACAUUGCUAAGCAUACUCAAAUUAUUUAAUGAUCCUUCUUUCCGUAGGUGAACCUGCGGAAGGAUCAUUAAAUAAUUUGAGUAUGCUUAUGCAUAUUUCUAAUUUACUGUGAACUGUUUUACUGUUUAGCGUUUUGAGGGAUUGCCUAAAGAUUAUAGGGAUAGGUCUUCAGGAUGUUAACCUAGCUAAAGUCAGGCUUAGGCCUGGUAUCCUAAUUCAUUAUUUACCAAAAGAAUUCAGAAUUAAUAUUGUAACAUAAGCGUAAAAAACUUAUAAAACAACUUUUAACAACGGAUCUCUUGGUUCUCGCAUCGAUGAAGAACGUAGCAAAGUGCGAUAACUAGUGUGAAUUGCAUAUUCAGUGAAUCAUCGAGUCUUUGAACGCAUCUUGCGCUCAAUGGUAUUCCAUUGAGCACGCCUGUUUCAGUAUCAACAACAACCCACAUCCACAAUUUUGUUGUGAAUGGAAGUGAGAGUAUCGAUGUAAAAAUUGAACUCUUUAAAACUAUUAGGCCUGAACUAUUGUUCUAUUAGCCUGAACAUUUUUUUAAUAUAAAGGAAUGCUCUAGUUAAAAGACUAUCUUGGGGGCCUCCCAAAUAAAUCAUUUUUUUAAACUUGAUCUGAAAUCAGGUGGGAUUACCCGCUGAACUUAAGCAUAUCAAUAAGCGGAGGAAGGAAGGAUCAUUAAAUAAUUGGAGUAUACUUAUCCAUAUUUUGAUUCACGGUGAAUGUUUUACUGUCAAGCGUUGUGAGGGAUGCCAAAGAUAAGGGAUAGGUCUCAGAAUUACCUAGCUAGUCAGCUAGGCUGGUUCCAAUAAUAUUACAAAAAAUCAAAAUAAAAUGUACACA